UUUCCCGGCUCCCGCCCGACUGCGCAGCUGCGAGCCCGGAGGGAGCGCUCCCUGGCCCCGCGCGCGGCCCUCCCCUUGCGCGCUCCGGCUCCCCGCGCUUGCCUGACGAGGCCCGGUCCCCGGGCCCUAUUCGGCCAAAACGGCCGCGGCUUCCCCGCGCGUGACCGCCGCUGUGCCGUGCCAGAAAAGGCUCGCCUGCACCCCGGGACCGCGGAGGGGGGGCAGGCAGAAAGGAGCUCCUAUUCGCUUCUCAGUUACCCAGGGACAAAGUCUGACGUCGCCGCAUCAGGUCCCCAUCCUAAGCAGUUCUCUCCCAGAGGUUUGAUAUCCCAUCUUAGCUGGGGCUGGGCAGGUUCAUGGUGUGAUCCAAAGCUGAGCGUCACCGACACAGAGUGCUAGUUUAUAGCAAGAACUGACUCCGGGGUACUCUCCAGUUCCAUGCCUAUGAUGUAGUCAUCAGAGUUGCAAAGGAACAAGAGGAUUCAUCUGACUUAACUGGAGAUGGCUCCCUUCCCCAUUUAUUGUUCCAUUCCUAAAGCUUCCCUCCUACCGGGCUCAGUGAGAGCAGAUGGGAAGAGGCACCCACCUCAGAGGAGCUCUGUGAAAAAAUUACUGAGACACUAAGAUGCUGUGAAUUGGGAAAGUUUGGGAACCUCAAGAUUAGAGCUAUACAAACUGUCUCAAAGGGCAAAGGUGGAUUUUAAUGGCUUAAGCUCAAUGAAUGGUUGAUACACUAAAACUCAAAGACGAAAGGAAGGAUGUAUCCUAUUGGAAACUGAUGAUCUAAACUAAAAGAAAGGAGAGUAGCAGAGACUUCAAAAUGUUGAAAACUCUCGUAUCACAACAGAAGCUAAAAACUCUGAUGGCCGGAGUCAUAAAGACAAGAAACAGGAUCACAACAGCAAGGAAAAUAUAGAUAAAACAAUAACAGAAGAGAGAGAAAAUUUAUGUAAUUUGGGACAUUCCAGGACAAAGAACAGAAGAACAGGAGGAGGAAAGUAAUGGUCUGCACGAGGACAUGGACUACAGAAAAGUUAAUGACUCGGUCAUUGUGUCAAAGGGUAUUUAAAUUAGCCACUGAUGGGCUUCCCUCGUGGCGCAGUGGUUGGGAGU